rnacentral:rRNA from 1 species
AUGGGUUUACCCCAAGUUUCUUCAGUCAGGGAGGAUGUUUCUACAGGAUCGAGGACACCUGUGUCAAGCCCCUCUCGUACCAAUGGUGUUGGUGCCUGCGAUUUGGAUGGGCUUCCUCGAGAAAGCUCAAAUGGCAAGGCUUCAUAUCGAUCGAUUGGCAAUUUCAGUAGACAGACUGCAUCAGAUUCCCCGGAUGAAUCAAACAGAUAUUUUAGAGACAGCCAUGCGUUUGAUGGACUCACCGACUUCCAAGGAUUAAGAAUUGAUGAUUUUAGAGAUGCAAAUUCUAGAUCUUCUCAUAAAUUGCAGCCUGCUGUCCGUAGGCCCAUAACGAGGGUUGUGGGCUUUGAAUCAAACUGUAUUGGAGGUCCUGAUACAGCAGAACUGGAUACAAUCUGUCCAUCUGUGGCCAGUCAUAAUUUUGGUUCACCAUGUGAUCAGGAUGAACUUCAGGCAAGGAAAGGACUGCUGUCUCCAUUGAAAAAUGUGCUCUCUAGAAAGUUCCAUGGUAAUUUACUGAAUAUUGCUUCUGGUGAUGCUAGAUUUCAGCAUUCCGAGCCAAGUAAGAAACUCUACAGUUCUGGCUUACAAGAUAAUAAAAUGGUAAACACUGGAAGCCUCAGUUCUUUUGAGUCACAGGCAUGUCCGACCCCUAGAUGGUCCAAUUGGACUUCAGAAUUUGAUGUCAAUAGGAUUAAUUCUAUUCACUUCACUGAUGGCCCUUUACUUGGGAACAAGGAGUCGUUAUCCUAUUAUGAUCAUCUAGCUGCCAGUGCAAAAUUAGCACACUCUCCGCUCUCACUGUCUCCUCUCAGCCCUAGACGUAUUCAUAAAGUCAAGACUACAGAAUCUCCAAGGCAUGUAAUGAAAGAUAUUGAAAAUGAUUUCGUAGAUUUGAAGGAACAGGGAGGAUUUGAUGGAAUUGGGAUGCUAGAUGUGUUAGAGGAAACUAACAGAUUACAUGAUGAAUAUGAUACUAUGACCCCUAAAGGAAGUUCAUGUAGAAGAUAUCAAAACUGGGGUUCUGAAUCUUCACCUACGUUUCCGCGAGUUGGUUAUGGACGGAGUUUGAGUCUCCCUGCAAGGAGGUCACUAGUUGUCUCCUUUGAGGAAUCCCUUUUGUCUGGUCGACUUUCUUAUGGAAAAGAUAAUCAGACAAUUGAUGGUUUCUUAGCUGUCCUGAAUAUUGUUGGCGGUAGCUUCUCUCCCCCAACUCAGAAACUUCCAUUUGCAGUCGCAAGCAUCGACGAGGAUAGCUCCUUGUUGUAUUAUUCUUCUAUUGAUCUUGCUGGUAGAUUGUCCACAAGUGCAACCAACAGCAAUAGCCCAAAACUCCAAAGAAGCCUUAGUAACAAUAAUUCAAGAUCAGCAAAGAGUCGCUUACGCAUCCCUGCUAAGGGGCGCAUACAACUGGUUGUGAGCAACCCUGAGAAGACCCCACUCCAUACAUUCUUCUGCAACUACGACUUAACUGACAUGCCGUCUGGAACCAAGACGUUCAUGCGGCAAAAGGUCACUCUGUCUCCCACUGUUUCUCCCUCUAAUAUAGUGAAAGAAGAAAGCAAGACCAGUGACACAAAUGUUGGCCCGAAAGCUCAGUGUGUCUCAUGUGGAAGUGAACUUGCACAAGGAGGAACUCUAUGCUUGGAAUACUGCGGGCAGGGGCGGACGUGCAACUCAACUGAUGAAUCAGAAAAGAGACACGCAAACACAAAAUGUUACUCAUCGGGCACUGACAUGAAGGAAUCAGAUAAACCCAAUUCUAUUGGGAAUAAGCAAAAUAAUACUGAUUCUGAUGAUUGUUGCUGUCAGAUGGACAACGUGCACUCAGGUGCGAAGAAAUCAUGUUGUGCGUCUUCCAGGAUCAACGACAGUUCAGGUGGAGGCGUGCUCCGCUAUGCUUUGCACCUGCGGUUUCUCUGCUCCGCCUCCAAGAAAUCCUCAAAAUCUAUGCUACGUUGCAAAUCCGAUCCAUCAUCUGUACCGCACAGCGGCAAUACGGUGACUGAGGAUAGGAGAUUCUAUCUCUACAACGAUCUUAGAGUUGUAUUUCCUCAGAGGCACUCGGAUGCAGAUGAGGGCGAGCUGAAGGUGGAACAUGAUUUCCCUGCUGAUCCCAAGUACUUCGACAUAAGCAACUGA